AGAGCUAGCUGCGGGGCUGGGGAAUCCGCGGCCACCGCCUCUAAUCCGCCCUUAAGUAGUCUCCGCCUGCGUCACGCCAGGUCGGCGGAGGGGAGCAGAGCGCGGCGUGCCGCUGUCGCCGAGCGUCGGAGCCCGAGGGGCCGCGGCCGCGCGCCGCGGGGGGAGGAGACGGUCUGGAGUCCCCCCGCUGCGCCGGGGAUGAGGAGACGGAGGACUGCAGCGCCCCUUGGGGUUUCUGAGGCGCCCAGGUAACCUCACCUGGCCGCCAGUCUCCCGCAGGAGGAACAGACACAUUGGUUCUACACCGAACCUAUUAACAGCUCAACUUCAAAUAUUUGGCAGAGGUGGGAUUGCUGUUCACUAAGUGGCAUGCUUUAGUGUGGCUCAACUGCUUUAUCAUUGGAGCUAGAAACAGAAGGCCAUCUCAGUUAAAAGCAAAUCCUGCUUGCCUCUGUUCUGGGACUGACCUGCGGUGGGUCACUUUGGAUGGUUUCCGUCUCGUCUUCACUGGCCUGAUCUGGUGUUUGCUCCUAGGAUUUGUCUCGUGGAUCUUGACUGAUAUAAGUUGCUGAUAUUUUGCUCCUUCUCUAGUUCUCUAUUUCUUUGCUCUUCUUUCUUGGAAAUUUCCUCAUUUUUUUCUUCUACUUUUGUUGCAUUAAUUUUUUUUCUGUAAUCAUACUGUUAACGUCUAAGAAUUUAUUUGCAUUG
rnacentral:lncRNA from 1 species